GUAAAACUAGUUGUUAUAUGGCAAUAUCGUCCAGGGAUGAUUAUUUCUGGAAUUCUGUUAGCUGUAAAGUUGCUAACUUCUUCAUAGAGUUAUUUUGGAAAUCGUAGAACUACAGUGUUUACUAUUUUUUUUUAACCACUAUAAUGCAUCCUGCUACAAAAUGAGAUCUUUUCUUACAGUGACUGCGUCAUUCGUUUUGUCUUCU
rnacentral:misc_RNA from 1 species